CCUACGGGUGGCAGCAGUAGGGAAUUUUUCACAAUGGGCGAAAGCCUGAUGGAGCAACGCCGCGUGCAGGAUGAAGGCCUUCGGGUUGUAAACUGCUUUUAUAAGCGAGAAAUAUGAUGGUAACUUAUGAAUAAGGAUCGGCUAACUACGUGCCAGCAGCCGCGGUCAUACGUAGGAUCCGAGCAUUAUCCGGAGUGACUGGGUGUAAAGAGUUGCGUAGGUGGCAUAAUAAGUAGCUAGUGAAAUCUGGUGGCUCAACCAUUCAGACUAUUAGCUAAACUGUUAAGCUCGAGACCGUUAGGGGUAACUGGAAUUUCUAGUGUAGGAGUGAAAUCCGUAGAUAUUAGAAGGAACACCAAUAGCGCAGGCAGGUUGCUGGGACGGUUCUGACACUAAGGCACGAAAGCGUAGGGAGCAAACGGGAUUAGAUACCCCAGUAGUC
rnacentral:rRNA from 1 species